rnacentral:siRNA from 1 species
AUGAUACCGCUGCUGCUUCCCUCC